UACCGCUGAAUUUAAGCAUAUCACCAGUCUAAAAGGAAGAACUAAACCAGGAUUCUCCCAGUAACGGCGAGUGAACGGAGAUUAGCCCAUCACCGAAGCCUAUUCAAGGUUGUGGACAAGGCAAUGUGGUGUUCGGGCGUGCACCUGGGGACGCUGGCCUACUCGAAGUCCAACUCCGAUUAUGGCUCGUACAACGCCCAGAGCGGGUGAAAGGCCCGUGCGGGUAGGUGGUGAUUCUAUGGCGCUCCUCAGAUGUGCAUGCUCUCGAGUCGGAUUGCUUGAGAAUGCAGUCCAAAGUGGGUGGUAAACUCCAUCCAAGGCUUAAAUACUGGCGCGAGUCCGAUAGUAGACAAGUACCGUGAGGGAAAGUUGAAAAGUACUCUGAAGAGAGA
rnacentral:rRNA from 1 species